rnacentral:tRNA from 1 species
GCCCCUGUAGCUCAGCGGAUAGAGCAGCGGUUUCCUAAACCGUGUGUCGGCGGUUCAAUUCCGCCCAGGGGUACCA